rnacentral:rRNA from 1 species
CCUACGGGUGGCAGCAGUGAGGAAUAUUGGUCAAUGGACGAGAGUCUGAACCAGCCAAGUAGCGUGAAGGAUGACUGCCCUAUGGGUUGUAAACUUCUUUUAUAUGGGAAUAAAAUGUUCCACGUGUGGGAUUUUGUAUGUAUCAUAUGAAUAAGGAUCGGCUAACUCCGUGCCAGCAGCCGCGGUAAUACGGAGGAUCCGAGCGUUAUCCGGAUUUAUUGGGUUUAAAGGGAGCGUAGGUGGAUUGUUAAGUCAGUUGUGAAAGUUUGCGGCUCAACCGUAAAAUUGCAGUUGAAACUGGCAGUCUUGAGUACAGUAGAGGUGGGCGGAAUUCGUGGUGUAGCGGUGAAAUGCUUAGAUAUCACGAAGAACUCCGAUUGCGAAGGCAGUUCACUGGACUGCAACUGACACUGAGGCUCGAAAGUGUGGGUAUCAAACAGGAUUAGAUACCCGAGUAGUC